CAGCCUGAAGUGAUGAGCUCAGUUCAUGUCUCUUCUCUGAGAUGUACCCUGGAGAUACUGCAAACACUCUGAUCAGGCAG
ensembl:snoRNA